rnacentral:rRNA from 1 species
AUUGAACGCUGGCGGCAGGCCUAACACAUGCAAGUCGAGCGAGCGGCGGACGGGUGAGUAAUGUAUGGGGACUGCCCGAUAGAGGGGGAUAACUACUGGAAACGGUGGCUAAUACCGCAUACUAUCGGAUAACCCAUAUGGGAUUAGCUAGUAGGUGGGGUAAAGGCUCACCUAGGCGACGAUCUCUAGCUGGUCUGAGAGGAUGAUCCGCCACACGGGGACUGAGCAACGGACCAGACGCCUACGGAGGCAGCAGGUGGGAAUAUUGCACAAUGGGCGAAGGCCUGAUGCAGCCAGGCCGCGUGUAUGAAGAAGGCCUUAGGGUUGUAAAGUCCUUUCAGCGGGGAGGCGUUACCCGAAGAAGAAGCACCGGCUAACUCCGUGCCAGCCGCCGCGGUAAUAC